AAGGCUCUACAGAAGGUUGAAGUUUUCAUAAAAGCUACUUGGCUAAUUGUGCCAUAUAAUCUAGCAUGAACUCCAUAUUUACAGCUAUUAGGAAUGAUGUAUGGAGUCUUUGAGAAAUCCUCAAAUAAAAAACCCAGUAUUUUCUUUUUGUUCCCUAGCGGGAUGUCUUCUUCCACCCUGGAGGUGAACACACCCCCACUUUGAAGAUUACUGAUGUAGACUGUGGAUGAUUGUAUGCAUCAGCUGGGUAGAGGAAUAAUUUCAGGGAUGCGAGAAAGGUCUGCCUGUCCAAAAUAAUGUAUGACCUUCUGAAUGUCUGACCUAAAAUUAUACAUUUUCAGAUCCUGACCUUUGUAAAUAUUAAAAUCAUUCAGCAUCACUGGCAACUGACCACAUUUAGCAUUAAGUUAAUGCUUCAGACUAUAUCCCCUUAUAGAUGUUGUUGAAGAUAGGGGCAACAAAAGAAGAAUGUGUAUCCAGUGACCUGGUGGAAAGAGCUUCAGGGAGAGAAA
rnacentral:lncRNA from 1 species